rnacentral:rRNA from 1 species
GACGAACGCUGGCGGCGUGCUUAACACAUGCAAGUCGAGCGGAAAGGCCCUUUCGGGGGUACUCGAGCGGCGAACGGGUGAGUAACACGUGAGUAAUCUGCCCUUCACUUGGGGAUAACCUCCGGAAACGGUGGCUAAUACCCGAUACGACCAUUCCUCGCAUGAGGUGGUGGUGGAAAGUUUUUCGGUGGGGGAUGUGCUCGCGGCCUAUCAGCUUGUUGGUGGGGUAAUGGCCUACCAAGGCUUCGACGGGUAGCCGGCCUGAGAGGGUGACCGGCCACACUGGGACUGAGACACGGCCCAGACUCCUACGGGAGGCAGCAGUGGGGAAUAUUGGACAAUGGGCGGAAGCCUGAUCCAGCAACGCCGCGUGAGGGAUGACGGCCUUCGGGUUGUAAACCUCUUUCGCCUGUGACGAAGCGAAAGUGACGGUAGCAGGAGAAGAAGCACCGGCCAACUACGUG